rnacentral:rRNA from 1 species
UACGUAGGGUGCGAGCGUUGUCCGGAAUUAUUGGGCGUAAAGGGCUCGUAGGCGGUCUGUCACGUCGAAAGUGAAACUCAGGGCUCAACCCUGAGCCUGCUUCCGAUACGGGCAGACUAGAGGUAUGCAGGGAGAAUGGAAUCCUGGUGUAGCGGUGAAAUGCGCCAGAUAUCAGGAGGAACACCAGUGGCGAAGGCGGUUCUCUGGGCAUUACCUGACGCUGAGGAGCGAAAGUGUGGGGAGCGAACAGG